rnacentral:rRNA from 1 species
UACAGAGGGGGCAAGCGUUGUUCGGAAUUACUGGGCGUAAAGGGCGCGUAGGCGGCCUUCUAAGUCGAACGUGAAAUCCCCGGGCUCAACCCGGGAACUGCGUCCGAUACUGGAUGGCUUGAAUCCGGGAGAGGGAUGCAGAAUUCCAGGUGUAGCGGUGAAAUGCGUAGAUAUCUGGAGGAAUACCGGUGGCGAAGGCGGCAUCCUGGACCGGCAUUGACGCUGAGGAGCGAAAGCCAGGGAAGCAAACGGG